AUGCUCACUUCAGCAGCACAGGUGGCAAAAUUAGAAUAAUAUAGAGAUCAGCAUAGCCCCUGUGCAAGGAUGACACAAAUUCAUGAAACAGUCCAUAUUUCU